AUUGAACGCUGGCGGCAGGCUUAACACAUGCAAGUCGAGCGAGCGGCGGACGGGUGAGUAAGGUCUGGGAAACUGCCUGAUGGAGGGGGAUAACUACUGGAAACGGUAGCUAAUACCGCAUACGAUCAGAUGUGCCCAGAGGGGAUGAGCUAGGAGGUGGGGCAAUGGCUCACAUAGGCGACGAUCCCUAGCUGGUCUGAGAGGAUGAAAAGGCCCACUGGAACUGUGACACGGUCCAGUCUCAUCCGGGAGGCAGAAGUGGGGAGUAUUGCACAAUGGCCGCAAGUCUGAUGCAGCCCUGCCGUGAGUGUGCAUAAGUCCAGCAGGUUCAAAAGCACUUUCCGCAAGGAGGCGGUACUCGCAUAAGAAGCACCGGCUCACUCCGUGCCAGCAGCCGCGGUAAUUC
rnacentral:rRNA from 1 species